UUAUGAAUUAAACUGCCCAAAGCGCAGCUCUCCUUUUUCAUCUCACAACUUGACAAACAAACCCUAAUAUUUUGUAAAACACGCAGCACGCCGCCGCCCACUCAACAUUCACCCCGGAAAAACAGUACCCUUACUCCGGCUCAUGCGAGUGCUGGUCUAUUUCGGCUUCUUCAUCACCACGAAAGCCGCUGACGGUGACGAAGCCUACGGCUUAACCCUACUGUCAAAAUUAUUGGGCUAAUCAGUAAAUUCACAGCCAUAAUAAGUGGCUGAGAAGGGAUGCACAUGUCCUGAAAAUUGGGAGGCCAGCACCAAUAAGAAGCAUCCACAUGUACACCUAAAUAUUAUCCAUUACGAAGACCUCAAGUCAACAACCCUGUAUUGCCAUGUCAUCCAUGUGAAGAACCAUUGCCAAAUCAUCUAAGUGAUGAGUCAUAACACUAACAGCUGGCUCCUUCCCCAAAUCAAGCUGCCAACCAGCCAUAACAUUGCCUACACAAUGCAAUAAAUCCAACCAGACAGGUCAGGUCAGCACCAACACUCCUAAUUUUUUUUUAUUUUUUUUUCUUCUUCCACAUUCUUCUUAUCUCUAUUAUGUGAUACCAGUUUAAAGUUUUACCAUUUUUUCUCAGGAUUUAGAAAUAUACAACGCUAAGGUAUACAAAGAACCAUUGUUUAGUAGUUUAAUUAUACUGUCAAAAAUUAACAAAAGUAUAAACUAACUUUGGUGGAAAACUGUUCUUAUUCUGUAAACUACAUCCAUGAUAAAUGCCUAGAAUUGCAUUUGAUGAUUACAUGAUCUAAUGAUGAUUUGUUGAAGAUUAUACAAUUGGUUUUUAAUGAAGUGGAAUUCUCAGAAUGACUACUAAUCUUUCUAACGUGCGAAAUGAAGCAGCUGAAGACAGCAGGAUUGGGAGCAAGCCAUGUGGAUUAACAUGAGGCUUAAAGUGCCGGUUAUGCUUUUUUGAAUAUGAAAUUAACUCGUGCCUGUAAUAUUAAUUUCCUAUUGCAUAGCAACUUUGUACUCUCACUGCUAUCUAUUUUGAACUUUCUUGAUUUGUAUUUCAGGAUGAAUAGGUUGGUUUUGCAAACUUAAGUCUAGGAAAAGCCUGCCCAUCCCUGUACGAAAUCCAACCAUCUAUAUAUAUUUAAUCCUUUCUCCCUACUUUUUUUCUCAUGAAAUUGUCUGCAUGUGCUUCUUCUUUCAAUUGGAAACUGUUUUUACUUAUAUACUGGAAACUCGUGCACUUAAUCAAGCAGCAGUAGAAUGUAUUCAAGAUUUCAAUUCCUAUCAUGCUUGCUCCAACGGCCAUGCAGAAACGGUCCUCCCUGAAGGGGAGUAUGAUGUGGCAGUUUGUAAGAUAGUAAUGAAGCAAAAGUCCUUUAAGGACUGAUAAAACCCAACACUGUGCUGUCCAAAGCUAACAAACAAUGAAGGACUGGAAGGGAAGAUGUAGAUUUUAGUGGCUCUUUAGUAAAUAGAAAAGAAAUGCUAAUGAUUAUAUAAAGACAAAUUUGUAGAAAGUUGUAAAUUUGUAUUGGUUUUUUUGAAAUUAUACACGAAAAAAGUAGGCAUUUGUAUGGUGUA